AUUUUUAUCAUCAACUUUUAUGUCUAAAAAAAUAAAAUUUAAUUCUCAACAUUCCCGUCCCCUCUCUCUCUCUUCAUUCUCCUCACAUCGAUUGCAAGCGCGCUACGGAGGAUAUUCCUCCGCCAGAGGAUGGAAUUUCGCGAUGCCGUUUCCGGGCUCGAGCGCAUCUUCUUGCGUCGGCAUGUGGUCCGCCUACAUCUUCCAGGGUGUCCUGUAAGAAAUUGUAUCGACCAAGCUUUUUGGGCCGAAUGGGAAACGAUCCGAGCACCUCUCCUUUUUAAACUUGGCGCAGAACGUGCUUUGCCUCGCGUGGUCGUUUAUCAGUAUGCGCAUUGCGGAUUUUGCAUGUUCUUGUCAAUUGAGGGUGAUGUGAGAUUGUUAAUUGGUUCAUUUUGAUUUGGGAAUGACUAAUUGCAUAGUGAUAAAGUUGUGGUCGAGGAGUUCGUCUGGGAGAGCUCCAUUACGGAGCUACUGGAGCCCGAGCAUCACUAAUACCAUCAGUUCAUCUAUGGGAAUUGAAGCUUUGAAGUAUAUCAGUUAUCCCGAAGAGUUAUACUGGUGGGUGUUCGUGUUUAUGGAAUCAAUUAUAGUUUUCCAGAAUAUGUUCUCACUUUCCUUGUUGCCGGAGGGGUAUCUUCAUUUGCACUUUUGAAGGUUUGGCAUUUCCCUUCAUACUCUUUUGCAUCAAAAUCAAUUUUUUUUCACGCAUGGGGAUCCAACUCUUGCAAUGGGGAUGCAUAUCCAAAUGACUAAUUUCUUGGGAUAAAAGAUGGUGGCUGCAUCUAACAAUUUUGAAUAUACAUUAGAAAUGACUUUUUUUUUAUGACUGUCAUUCAGUGGCUUCUGAGUGAGUUUGUUAUAUUCCAAGGACUGGGUUCUUUGUUGUGCCUUGGUAUGUGGAAUUGAUUUCAGACAUAAAUAAUGAACACCUUAUUAAAGAUCUAACUUCUUUAUUUGAGGACCAAAACCUCAUGAUUGCUCAUGUAAGUCAUUUUCAUCCUCAAUGCCAGUCAUUUUGGCCUGAUGUUCUUGGUAUUAUCUUGUUCCAUGAAAUAUGGUUAGUAGGGUAUGGUCUAUGGAAAUGGACCAUGCCUGGCUGUGUAUCUUCUGAACUACCACAGUACAUUAGAAUCUACAUUUUAUAUUGAUAUGGUUACAUUUUUGUUUAUUGAACUUUUCAUGCCCUUCACUCUCUGAAUACAUUUACAAUAGCUUUGUUAUUAAAUUGCUUGAUUCGAUUGAUUACAGACUAGCUCAAAGACCAUAAAGAAGCUUGCCCAUCCAAAUGCUCCACUUGGCUAUGGGCUUUGCUUCCUGAAUUUAGCAUUUGACGGCUUCACAAACGCCAUUUCUUAAACAAGAUGAAACAAAAAUGCUUGUGUACCUUCAAAUUUAUUUUAGUGCUUUAAUCGUACUUGUAUCCAAAUUUCACAAUAAUUUAUAACUGCAUCUAUUUGUUUCUCUUUUAAUAAAAAACCUUUAAUAGGUACCCAAAAACUUCUGCUUGGGAGAUCAUGCUUGGAAUGAACCUUUGGGGAACCAUUUACAAUGUUAUUUACAUGUUUGGCUGGCCCCAUGCAAGUGAUAAUGAGGCAGUGAGGUUUUGCCAGGAGCGCCCAGAGGCAGCUUGGGACAUCCUUAUGUACUGUCUCUGCGGCGCAGUGGGACAAAAUUUCAUCUUCUUGACCAUAAGCCAAUUUGGCUCACUUGCUAACACAACCAUCGUCACCACCCGGAAUUUUGUCAGCAUCAUUGUAUCAUCAUUGAUAAGUGGCAACUCUUUAUCAACGAAGCAAUGGUCUAGUGUGGUUAUGGUCUUCUCAGGUCUUUGAUCUUCCUCAAGUGGAGAAAGCUCUAGAGAACAAAGGAGAAGAAGGCUACUUGAAGACCAUUUUCUUUCCUUCCCCAGGAUUCCUGGUGGCUUUUAUUGACUUUAUUGGAACUAAACACGGGAAGAGCGCUUUAUUCAAUUUAGGCAGAUCUAAACUCGGUGGGCAAUCCAAAUUUAAGUGUAUGUGACCGAUAUUUAUGUCUUGCUGCUAAUAGUAUACUUCAGAAAUGUAUACUAUUAGCAGCAAGACAUAAAUAUCGAUUAUGGCAAUCGUACGUUGAUUAGACUUAAAUUAUUAGUCUAAAAAGAUAAAAUAGUUAAUAGAUGUGCAAAUCAACUUCAUCUAGUUGGAUAAAAUUUAAUUGUUAUUAUUGUUGUAAUUAAUAGAUAGAUGUGCAAGUAGUUUAGGUCCCUAUGUAUAAUCUAAUCUUGUAUAUGUAAGACAGUAAAUGAAUCAAAUAUUUAUGAAUAAAUUUGAUAUUUGACUUGGUAA